AUGGCGGACGAUAGAGCCGAGCCGCUUAGGGAUCCGGAGGCUGAACGUUAUCUAAUGGGCAUCAUCAACAACGAGAUUCCUUAUGUGCCGGGCUCAGAAUAUGAGCAAGAAGAGGAUGUAGUCUCUUCUUUUCUGAACCUUGAAGGUGGAACAGAGAUUGUUGAUGAUCAAGAAGGUGAAGGAACGGACAUUGUCGACGGAGGUCAACCGUCAACAAACGACGAUCUCGAAUUGCAAGUAGCAACCACCUCCGGCGAGGUAUAUAUAUACAUUGAGCCUCUCGUGAUACAAACUUACUGA
rnacentral:rRNA from 1 species